rnacentral:rRNA from 1 species
CUACGGGCGGCAGCAGUGGGGAAUUUUGCGCAAUGGGCGAAAGCCUGACGCAGCAACGCCGCGUGAGUGAUGAAGGCCUUCGGGUCGUAAAGCUCUGUCAGAGGGGAAGAACCGCCUUGUGGCUAAUAUCCAUGAGGUCUGACGGUACCCUCAAAGGAAGCACCGGCUAACUCCGUGGCCAGCAGCCGCGGUAAUACGGAGGGUGCGAAGCGUUGUUCGGAAUUAUUGGGCGUAAAGCGCGUGUAGGCGGUUUGUUAAGUCUGGUGUGAAAGCCCUGGGCUCAACCUGGGAAGUGCAUUGGAUACUGGCAAACUUGAGUACGGGAGAGGAUAGUGGAAUUUCGAGUGUAGGGGUGAAAUCCGUAGAUAUUCGAAGGAACACCGGUGGCGAAGGCGGCUAUCUGGACCGAUACUGACGCUGAGACGCGAAAGCGUGGGGAGCAAACAGGAUUAGAUACCCGCGUAGUC